ACUGUAUUUGGUUUUUCCGUGCUAUUUUUGAGUAACACCCUGCCAAACUAGAUUUUGAUUUUACAUUGCUAUUUUUCUGGUAAUUCAAAAGUUAUGGAAUAGGAACUUUACAAAUUUCAAUUUUUUGCGGUGUGGCCAAAACUUAUUCAGACAUAUCUUAUGUAUGUUAUGGGCACAAUAGAAACCCAAACUAUAUUUUAAGUUUGGUUGACAUUCAAAGUAUAAACAAAGUAACUUUUUUCUGUUUUGAAAGUGAACUCAUUCAAAUUGAAAAUUUUUUUUUUUUUUCCUCCAACAUAUCUGAAGCAGAACUUAUUAUUCGAAAUGUCAGGCCGCCCUGAUUUUUAAAAUUGAAAAAAAAAAAUUGCUAGAAGAAAAUAAAAUUACUAUGUUGAGGAUGGGAAGAGCAAAUUUAAGAAUUUGAAUUUCACUUUUUGAAACUAGUUUAGUUUCCUAACUGUCUUUAAAGACACGUUUUUCAGAGUCUGUUACAUUUAAUAUCAGUGUUUUAUACAUGUAGGUAUUGUUUAUGCACUAUCAUGCAGUCAAUUUACAGUUAACAAAAUGUAUUUAGAACUCAAUCACCUAUUCCUAAGUAAAUAAUUUAUUUUCAAGAACUGUAUAUUUUAAAUUACUAAAUCAUGAAAAUCAAAAGUUAUUGUACAAACUGGAGAGAAAAUCAAUAUGUGAAGUAGUUCGUUUCCAAAACGCAAUAUACGCCACUUUGUUCCCUUGAGAAUCUUGCUCGCUUCUGGCUGUCAAAGGCAAUUUUGACAGCUGUUAUACUUAAACACAACGUAAGAAUACGUUAUUUAUGAAAAUGAACUUUAGAAACAGCUGUAGGUUAUGUUGUUUCAAUUCCACAUUUUUUGCCUUUCUCGAAAUGGAUAUGUUGCGGUUUGAAAAUAAACUCUUCAUGUAUAUUAAAAGUGAUUACUACACAUUUUUAAUCUCUUUUUAAAUCUUGAAAAGCAUCAUGUAUAUGUACAUGUAUCUACCUUCAAGGAACUUCUCCAAAGAUUACACCAACAGCUAAUUUUUGUGUUUUUGUUUUCAAUAUUUUAGGAGUAUUUUUCUUAAGAUUAUUGAUGAAAACAAAAAUGAAAUACAUAAUAUUGUGAAUUGAUUACACUAAUUGAUAGUAUAUUAUUUUUGUUUAGUUAUUUUAUCUCCACAACUCUUCUUCAAUUUAAUUGCUUCUCAACAGUAGUACAUUAUGUUUGAUGUGUAUUCUUACAUUUUUUUCAUAACUUGCAGAUCAGUCAUCUUCAUUUUGUUGUUUUAAAAUAAAAAAGAGUUUAACUGGAGGGUUUAAUGUAUGUCUAACACUGACUGUGAAAAGCUUUCUCUAAUGAUACGUUUACAAACAGUUUUGUACAAUAUUUUCAUAGAUGCAAAAUUGAAAAUUUGGAAAGACUCGGCUGCACUUUCCAGUUGAAACCAGUUAAAUUGGAAAUUGGUGACUGGUUUAGAAAUGGUUUAUAACUGGUUUUGAAUCGGUUUUAACUGAUUCAAAACCAGGUAAACCAGUUCAAAACCAGAUAAACCAGUUCAAAACCAGAUAAACCAGUUCAAACCAGAUAAACCAGUCCCAAACCAGAUAAACCAGUUCAAAACCAGAUAAACCAGUUCCAAACCAGAUAAACCAGUCCCAAACCAGAUAAACCAGUUCCAAACCAGAUCAACCAGUUCCAAACCAGAUAAACCAGUUCAAACUAGAUAAACCAGUUCAAAACAAGAUAAACCAGUUCAAAACCAGAUAAACCAGUUCCAAAGUAGUUCAAAACCAGUCACCAAUUUCCAGUUCAACUAGUACCAUUUGAAACCAGUUAAACCGUUUUUUUGUUUUCACCUAGGAUAUGCAUAAUUAUGCAAACCUGAAACAAAUUGAAUUGAUAGAUCACUCAUAGUGUAGUUGUUGUUUCGCCUAGUUUAUUCAAUUGUGCAGAUUCCUUAAACGAUCUAAUGUAAUUUAAUCAGUGACAGGUCUACUGGUUGCAACUCUAUUCACUUUAUACUGUUUUGUUUGAGAAAAUAAAGCAUGAUUUUAAUAUUGUAAGACUCUC
rnacentral:lncRNA from 1 species